rnacentral:rRNA from 1 species
UUAUUAUGCUGUCUGUAGGAAGGAAACUCCCUAACGAUUUAUCAAAGUAAACGGCCAGCAGCCGCGGUAAUUCCAGCUCCAAUAGCGUAUAUUAAAGUUGUUGCGGUUAAAAAGCUCGUAGUUGAACUUUGGGCCUGGCUGAUCUGUCCUCCUAAUCGAGCGCACGGAUUCGGUCGGGCCUUUCCUCCUGGGGAACCCGAUGCCCUUCAGUGGGCGUCGUGGGGAACCAGGACUUUUACCUUGAAAAAAUUAGAGUGUUCAAAGCAGGCCUUUGCUCGAAUACAUUAGCAUGGAAUAAUAGAAUAGGACAUCGGUUCUAUUUUGUUGGUUUCUAGGACCGCUGUAAUGAUUAAUAGGGAUAGUCGGGGGCGUCAGUAUUCAAUUGUCAGAGGUGAAAUUCUUGGAUUUAUUGAAGACUAACUACUGCGAAAGCAUUCGCCAAGGAUGUUUUCAUUAAUCAGUGAACGAAAGUUAGGGGAUCGAAGACGAUUAACCAGUAUCUGGUCGUCAAUAGUUAUAAACUAGCCUGGGCCGUUUGAGUUCGGGUAACACCAGUCAACUGAAGAGCUCUCACUUUUUGGUGGGUGAUCUACAGCUUAAAUGCAGUCUACAGACUGAACGCUGGUGGGCCACGGGGGUGAUAUUAUCCCAGGCUUUUGAUAUAGUCGAGUCCAACAUGGUAACAUGUGUAGGUAAUAACGCAGAUACCGUCGUAGUCUUAACCAUAAACUAUGCCGACUAGGGAUCGGACGGUGUUUUUUAUAUGACCCGUUCGGCACCUUACAGGAAACCAAAGUGUUUGGGUUC